GAACGCACCUUGCGCCCUUUGGCUAUUCUGAAGGGCAUGCCUGUUUGAGUAUCGUGAACACCUCAACUCUCAUGGUCUGCCAUGAUGAGCUUGGACUUUGGGGGUCUUGCUGGCCUGCUGUCAGCUCCUCUCAAAUGAAUCAGCUUACCAGUGUUUGGUGGCACCACAGGUGUGAUAACUAUCUACGCUUGUGGUUUUCUGCCAGGUAACCUCCAGCGAUGGAGGUUCGCUGGGGCUCACAAAUGUCUCUCCUCAGCGAGGACAGCUUUUUGAACGUUUGAUCUCAAAUCAGGUAGGACUACCCGCUGAACUUA
rnacentral:misc_RNA from 1 species